rnacentral:rRNA from 1 species
ACUGAACGCUGGCGGCAGGCUUAACACAUGCAAGUCGAGCGGAGAUGAGGUGCUUGCACCUUAUCUUAGCGGCGGACGGGUGAGUAAUGCUUUGGAAUCUGCCUAUUAGUGGGGGACAACAUUCCGAAAGGAUUGCUAAUACCGCAUACGUCCUAAGGGAGAAAGCAGGAGACCUUCGGACCUUGAGCUAAUAGAUGAGCCUAAGUCGGAUUAGCUAGUGGUGGGGUAACGGCCUACCAAGGCGACGAUCUGUAGCGGGUCUGAGAGGAUGAUCCGCUACACUGGGACGGGGACACGGCCCGGACACCUGAGGGAGGGAGCCGGGGGGAAUAUUGGACAAUGGGGGGAACCCUGGUCCUGCCAUGCCGCGUGUUUGAAGAAUGCCUUAUGGUUGUGAGGCACUUUAAGCGAGAAGGAGACUACUGAGACUAAUACUCUUGGAGAGUGGACGUUACUCGCAGAAUAAGCACCGGCUAACUCUGUGCCAGCAGCCGCCGUAACAC